rnacentral:rRNA from 1 species
AGCGAACGCUGGCGGCAGGCCUAACACAUGCAAGUCGAACGAACUCUUCGGAGUUAGUGGCGGACGGGUGAGUAACACGUGGGAACGUGCCUUUUGGUUCGGAAUAACUCAGGGAAACUUGUGCUAAUACCGAAUGUGCCCUUCGGGGGAAAGAUUUAUCGCCAUUAGAGCGGCCCGCGUCUGAUUAGCUAGUUGGUGAGGUAACGGCUCACCAAGGCGACGAUCAGUAGCUGGUCUGAGAGGAUGACCAGCCACACUGGGACUGAGACACGGCCCAGACUCCUACGGGAGGCAGCAGUGGGGAAUCUUGCGCAAUGGGCGAAAGCCUGACGCAGCCAUGCCGCGUGAAUGAUGAAGGUCUUAGGAUUGUAAAAUUCUUUCACCGGGGACGAUAAUGACGGUACCCGGAGAAGAAGCCCUGGCUAACUUCGUG